rnacentral:rRNA from 1 species
AGCGGCCUACGGGGGGCAGCAGUGAGGAAUAUUGGUCAAUGGGCGGAAGCCUGAACCAGCCAAGUCGCGUGAGGGAUUAAGGCCCUGCGGGUCGUAAACCUCUUUUGCCGGGGAGCAGAGGUCCGGACGUGUCCGGGCCGGGAGAGUACCCGGAGAAAAAGCAUCGGCUAACUCCGUGCCAGCAGCCGCGGUAAUACGGAGGAUGCGAGCGUUAUCCGGAUUUAUUGGGUUUAAAGGGUGCGCAGGCGGAUUUUUAAGUCAGCGGUCAAAUCGUGGGGCUCAACCCCAUCCAGCCGUUGAAACUG